rnacentral:rRNA from 1 species
AGAACGAACGCUGGCGGCAGGCCUAACACAUGCAAGUCGAGCGAUCGCAGCAAUGCGGGAGCGGCAGACGGGUGAGUAACACGUGGGAACGUACCCUUCGGUUCGGAAUAACUCAGGGAAACUUGAGCUAAUACCGGAUACGUCCGAGAGGAGAAAGAUUUAUCGCCGAAGGAUCGGCCCGCGUCUGAUUAGCUAGUUGGUGAGGUAACGGCUCACCAAGGCGACGAUCAGUAGCUGGUCUGAGAGGAUGAUCAGCCACAUUGGGACUGAGACACGGCCCAAACUCCUACGGGAGGCAGCAGUGGGGAAUAUUGGACAAUGGGCGCAAGCCUGAUCCAGCCAUGCCGCGUGAGUGAUGAAGGCCUUAGGGUUGUAAAGCUCUUUUACCUGGGAAGAUAAUGACGGUACCAGGAGAAUAAGCCCCGGCUAACUUCGUGCCAGCAGCCGC